rnacentral:rRNA from 1 species
UACGUAGGGUGCGAGCGUUGUCCGGAAUUAUUGGGCGUAAAGAGCUUGUAGGCGGUUUGUCGCGUCUGCUGUGAAAAUCCGGGGCUCAACCCCGGACUUGCAGUGGGUACGGGCAGACUAGAGUGUGGUAGGGGAGACUGGAAUUCCUGGUGUAGCGGUGAAAUGCGCAGAUAUCAGGAAGAACACCUAUGGCGAAGGCAGCACUCUGGGACGGUACUGACGCUGAGACGCGAAAGCGUGGGGAGCAAACAGG